GACGAACGCUGGCGGCGUGCCUAAUACAUGCAAGUAGAACGCUGAAGCUUGGUGCUUGCACCGAGCGGAUGAGUUGCGAACGGGUGAGUAACGCGUAGGUAACCUGCCUGGUAGCGGGGGAUAACUAUUGGAAACGAUAGCUAAUACCGCAUAAGAGUAGAUGUUGCAUGACAUUUGCUUAAAAGGUGCAAUUGCAUCACUACCAGAUGGACCUGCGUUGUAUUAGCUAGUUGGUGAGGUAACGGCUCACCAAGGCGACGAUACAUAGCCGACCUGAGAGGGUGAUCGGCCACACUGGGACUGAGACACGGCCCAGACUCCUACGGGAGGCAGCAGUAGGGAAUCUUCGGCAAUGGACGGAAGUCUGACCGAGCAACGCCGCGUGAGUGAAGAAGGUUUUCGGAUCGUAAAGCUCUGUUGUAAGAGAAGAACGAGUGUGAGAGUGGAAAGUUCACACUGUGACGUAUCUUACCCGAAAGGACGCUA
rnacentral:rRNA from 1 species